GCUGGGCAUGGUGGCGCAUGCCUGUAAUCCCAGUAGCUUGGGAGGCUGAGGCAGGAAGAUCUUGAGUUCAAAGCCAGCCUGAGCAAUUUAGUGAGGCCCUAAACAACUCCGUGAGACACUGUCUCUA
rnacentral:sRNA from 1 species